rnacentral:rRNA from 1 species
GACGAACGCUGGCGGCGUGCUUAACACAUGCAAGUCGAACGGAAAGGCCCUGCUUUUGUGGGGUGCUCGAGUGGCGAACGGGUGAGUAACACGUGAGUAACCUGCCCUUGACUUUGGGAUAUCUUCAGGAAACUGGGGCUCAUACCGGAUAGGAGCUCCUGCUGCAUGGUGGGCGUUGGUAAGUUUCGGCGGUUGGGGAUGGACUCGCGGCUUAUCAGCUUGUUGGUGGGGUAGUGGCUUACCAAGGCUUUGACGGGUAGCCGGCCUGGGAGGGUGACCGGCCACAUUGGGACUGAGAUACGGCCCAGACUCCUACGGGAGGCAGCGGUGGGGAGUAUUGCACAGUGGGCGGAAGCCAGAUGCAGCAACGCCGCGUGCGGGAUGACGGCCUUCGGGUUGUAAACCGCUGUCGCCUGUGACGAAGCGUGAGUGACGGUAACGGGUAAAGAAGCACCGGCUAACUACGUG